UCGCCUAAUUCCAUUGACCCGAUUUUUUUAUUAUUUUAGUGAACAAAACAUUUCAAAGAUCCAUUUCCUUUCUCAAAUAACCCAAAUCAAAGGAUGAGUACUACUGUUUUCUUCUCCAAUAACAAAAAUCAGAGCCCUAUAAUUCCAGAACUUUUGUGAUUUUUUCGUCUUCGACAACAAUUUUUGAGUUCGAGUGAAGAAAUCCGUUUCAGUGAUAAGCUACAGUGGUCUCUUCUACCGUGUGAAGUUUUCAUUUUCAGUGAUUUCUCCAAAAUAGUCUUCUUCAAAAUUAAGCUUCUGCAGAUAAAUGUGUACUAUUUUAAGAUUUGGAUAGUCAUGAGUCAACAAGAGUCAUAAAAAAGAAACAAAAAAGCAAAAAUUAAGACAUAUGCUAAACCUGGAUCAUUAUCAUUCUUGGAAAAUAAAAAAUGAAGGUUAAGACAACAAAUUAAAUUGUUCAAGCUAUGGAGUCAGAGAAAAGACAGAAGCACCCUCUCAGCAGCCUCUUCAGAAGCAACCUAUAGAUGAUCAAUUACAAAUGAAAUCUAGCACUCCGACAAGUGGUGAACAACCUGAAGAACAAGCUGAAGGUGUUUAGAAUAAAAACAAAACGGGCUCAAAUUCAAAUGCAUGAUGUACAUGCACGAAAAGAGCGUAAACUGAUCAUAUUGAAUAGUCUCAAUCAACUGGUUGCUCCUACUGAAGAUGUUGUGACAGAGUUAAUAGCUUCCUAGGAGAAAUACAUUAUUCCUGAAGCUGCAAAAGAUUGGGCUUUGGUAACAAUUCGAUAUGCUUGGAGAAGGCAUGGAUCUGACUUGAAGAUGAAUUAUUACGAUCCAUAUGACAAUGAUGAAAUUUGAACGGCAAAAAAGCCUGAUCAUAUUCCAGAAUGUCAGUAUAGAGAGCUCCUUAAAUAAUGCAAGUUUGAGAAAUUCACGAAAAUGUCUGAAACAAACACUAAGAAUCGAAAAAAGCUGAGGAAUCCACAUACAACAGGCAAAAAUAGUUUUGCUUUAAUCCGCAGUAAAUUGGAAAAGAAAAGGAAUUUGUAUCUGUUGAAGAGCUCUUUGUGGUCACAAGAACAAGAAAACCUGACCGUUCCAACAAGGCAUCGAAUGAGAACACAACUAGUAAAAUUGCUGAAAUGGAGGAACUUGAAAAGCAAAUGAGCACAAAUGGUUAGUCCGUUGAUGCAUUUUCAGCAGUCAUGGAUCCUAAACGUAUGGGAUGUCUAAGACUAUAUAGAGCGGGGGAUACAAAGACAACUCUGAAAAAUAAAGUUUACAAUUUUGAACCAAGUUUAAAUGCAAUAAAUGAUGUAGUGCAACAAAUGCAAGAAAGAAUGCAAAAAAUGGAGAAACAGAUCGAGGAACAAAGGAUAACUAUGCAACAACAAGUUAUUGCUGAUGUAGUUGCCCAACUUCAGCAUGAAGAAUUAAUUGAUCCUAAAAUAUUAGCAGCAUUGUCCGUUCCUUCACCAAGAGAAGCUACUUAUGCUCAAAUAGUUGAGCAAGAAGAUGAUAUUGAAGAACGGGAUGAAAGAAGUACUGAAGACUUGACAUAGGAGCUGAAUUGAGUCGAUGUUAAAUUUACCUAUGUUUUGGAAGUCUGUUAUUUUUGAAGAUUGUGUGGUGUAUCUGUACAUUUCACCCUUUUUGAAUGGCUGAAAAUAUUUAUCUAGUUUGCUUUUAUUGUUAGUAUGUACCCAAUUGCAACCAUUGAUCUUGGAUUAUAAUUUUUGUAAUGAAAUAUAAUUU